GAUGAACGCUGGCGGUGUGCCUAAUACAUGCAAGUCGAGCGAACGGACGAGAAGCUUGCUCCUCUGAUGUUAGCGGCGGACGGGUGAGUAACACGUGGAUAACCUACCUAUAAGACUGGGAUAACUUCGGGAAACCGGAGCUAAUACCGGAUAAUAUUUUGAACCGCAUGGUUCAAAAGUGAAAGACGGUUUUGCUGUCACUUAUAGAUGGAUCCGCGCUGCAUUAGCUAGUUGGUAAGGUAACGGCUUACCAAGGCAACGAUGCAUAGCCGACCUGAGAGGGUGAUCGGCCACACUGGAACUGAGACACGGUCCAGACUCCUACGGGAGGCAGCAGUAGGGAAUCUUCCGCAAUGGGCGAAAGCCUGACGGAGCAACGCCGCGUGAGUGAUGAAGGUCUUCGGAUCGUAAAACUCUGUUAUUAGGGAAGAACAAAUGUGUAAGUAACUGUGCACAUCUUGACGGUACCUAAUCAGAAAGCCACGGCUAACUACGUG
rnacentral:rRNA from 1 species